rnacentral:rRNA from 1 species
AACGUAGGAGGCGAGCGUUAUCCGGAUUUACUGGGUGUAAAGCGCAUGCAGGCGGUCAGCUAAGAUGGGUGUGAAAGCUCCUGGCUCAACUGGGAGAGGUCGCUCAAGACUGGCUGACUAGAGGCUGGGAGAGGAAAGUGGAAUUCCGGGUGUAGUGGUGAAAUGCGUAGAUAUCCGGAGGAACACCAGUGGCGAAAGCGGCUUUCUGGACCACGCCUGACGCUCAGAUGCGACAGCUAGGGGAGCAAACGGG